rnacentral:RNase_P_RNA from 1 species
AAUAGAAAACGGGUAAUUGCCCGCCAACAUCUGCGAAGUUGUGGCGGGAGGAAAGUCCGGACACCACCCCUGCCUCGGCGGGGGAAGCGUACGGGUUAACGACCCGCCGUGGUAACACGAGAGGUGCGAACAGAGACGUCCUAGAACCCGAAAGGGUUCGGACGCCCGAUCCGAUGCAAGUCGGAUUUAGGGCGAGCUUCAUGGCAACAUGAAGGUGAAACGGCCAAAUCCUUACUGGGUGCAAGUCUGUUAUAGACGCUAGAGCUUUAGAGCAAUCUAGGGCCCAGAGAGAUAAUUACCGUUCCCGCUUAGCGGGGAUACAAAAUCCGGCUUAUAGUUUUCUUCUAAGC